rnacentral:rRNA from 1 species
CAGUAGCCGCGGUAAAACGUAGGGUGCGAGCGUUAAUCGGAAUUACUGGGCGUAAAGCGUGCGCAGGCGGUUUGUUAAGACAGAUGUGAAAUCCCCGGGCUUAACCUGGGAACUGCAUUUGUGACUGGCCGGCUAGAGUAUGGCAGAGGGAGGUGGAAUUCCACGUGUAGCAGUGAAAUGCGUAGAUACGUGGAGGAACACCGAUGGCGAAGGCAGCCUCCUGGGCCAAUACUGACGCUCAUGCACGAAAGCGCGGGGAGCAAACAGGAUUAGAUACCCCAGUAGUCCCUGUCUCUUAUAC